rnacentral:misc_RNA from 1 species
CAACACCACCUCCCUCCUGCACCAUUAUACACACUCCUUUAGUGCAUCUUGCUAACUUUGGCGCCAUCGGGUUAGCCUUACAGGGAUAGGUAGCGGGUGGCUGGCGGCAUCCACUGACACCGACAAUGCACGGAUGAGUGACAUGGAACCUCACUCACCUGCCACGCAUCUCUCCAGCGAGGCGCGCCCUCCGCCGUUUUCUCCACAUGCCUUUGACUCCACCGGUCAUGGCAUCCUCGUUGCACGCCGCCCACGUCACGGCGGUGGCGGCCACGACACCUUUGGAGAACGCGACCAGAGUGUUGCGCAGCCUGGCCCUCCGCUGCGGCUCAGCACACGCCGACUGCAGGUGUUCAGCUACGUACUCGCGGAGCUUAGCAGUGCCACGACGCUCCUGCCGGACUACACAAAGGCGAUCCUGAAUCUCUCGCGGCGGCUCGUCGGGGCUUGGCAGGCGGUGACAGCAGCCGCAGUUGCGCGAACGCGGUAUGAACACGCGCUGGUGUGGGCAGCUCAUCAAUGGAAGAGAACCGAAGCUUCAGAUUUGAGGGCAUCGUCGCCGACGAAGAAGGCCAGCGAAGGCUACAGGGCUUUCAUGACGGUGUCGAGGCGCUCAUCGCGGAGGCGAGCAAGAGAGAAAAAGAAGCGGUGCAGCUCCGUGCCAGUCACCGCAGUAGCUGCUGCAUCGUCGCCGUCCCCCGCUGUUGCUGCGGCACUCUUCGACUCGGGAACCUCUUCACACAAGCGCCGUCGACUGACCCGAGAGGCGACGCCAGCAGCUGCAAGCUCGGGCGUGGCUCUGGCAGAUCAGAGACUGAGGAGGUCGCAGCAGCACUCCAACGCUCUCAGCGAUGCCGUCGCGUCGGCCCCACCUUGCGUUGACUCCCCUACAUCAUCCAACAAAAACCUGCAAGCUGACGUAGCAGCGACACCACCGCUGCCGUCGCCCUCCGAUCACCGUGGCGGAGGCCUCCAAAGCCGCGUUGUCCACAAGCGCCGCCGGCAGUUUGUGCAAAGGACUCUGCAGCAGCUGUGGCUGGAUGCGCAGGAGGCGGAGGACAAGGCAGGGCAGCACGUGGAGUAUAUUCGCGGCCUCGUUGUCAACGCCUUGUAUCAACAAUACCUGCAAGUCACGGUCGAGGCUAGCUACCACGACGUGGUUCUGUAUCGAUGGCUCUCGCCGUUGCUGUUUUCGGUUCGCCGUGGCGGCGUUGGCCCGCGGCAGGCGUGGCCGCGCCAAGGUUACCGUCAGCGCCGCCGCAGCGCGUCGGCCCCCCAGGGGGGCGGGUCUCUCCAGCACGCGCUUCAGCACCAAGCUGCUGGGCAGGUGGUUGCAGAUCUGCAGCUUCUGCGGCGGGUGCUGCGCCGCGCUCGCAUUACGGCGGGCCCAUCCCGAGGCGCAGGGAGGCGCAGCAGCAGUGGUGGCGACUCUGGCAUCGUCGUGGCAUCGCUGGCGAUGGGGCACGGCAGCGCGUCCAGCGUUCCUUUAUCGCCAACCACAGCCGCUGUGCGAGACGCCGUCGGUGCGGGAGGUCCUGCAUCCUUUGCCACCGUCGAUGGGGGCGGGGCCGCCGCCACCGCAAGCAGUGAGGGGGCCAACGGUGACGGUUCAGCUGCACGGCGGACUGCCUCAACUGACGGCAGUCGGAGUUCCUCUGGGCUGAGCACCCACGACGCCUUGGACGACUACAAGCUCGCUGUGCCGAUGCCUUUACAGUCGUUUUUACAGGCGUGCCUGUCAUUCGACCCUACGCACUGCGCCUUCGCUCUCAUGUCGCGAUGCGUCCUGCUCGCCCAGCACGUCCGGAGCGGGGACGAUGAACAGGCGGUGCCCUUUCAUGUCGCGCCGGAUGGGAAAGGGGCUCGGCAAGAAGUGCGCGGCGGAGUGGGCAGAGCCGAUGAAGGCGUGACCGAGGGGGUCGACGGCGAAGCGCCAGCCCGGGAGUACUUCGGUCUCUUUUACGUGGUUAUCGCCCGGCGUGCUGUUGGUGGUUGCGCCUGCACUGCCAUGUGCUUCGGCAACCACAAGUUCAUAUUCGUCUGCUGCCAUGACACCGAGGCACUGCUACGAGAGGCGAUGCCAGACGCCGAGAGCGACGAGGGCGCGUGUCAGGGGAGCGAUGCAUCGACGGCAGCGACUGAAGAGGAGGAAGAGCGGUACCUCGCUCACGUGUCACAUCUAUCGGCCGAGGCAGCUGCAACGACGUGCGCAUCGAAUGAGGCGGUAGGAGAGGCCGAGAGGCUUGCAGGUGCCGAUGCGCAGACACCGUCCUCGGUCUCCACUUCCUCGACGGUUGGGAUGGCUGCAUCAGCCAAAGGCCACCAACGCCACCUCCCCCUUUCCCGUUUUCGCGCCCACAGCCUACGGAUGGGCAAGCUGACUUUGCCGUCCCCAGCACGCGGAAUCAGCGCUCUUCGUACACACGACGCACAUCGGCUCAAGCGCAACGCCACUGAGAACGGCGGCAGUGGCGAGUGCGGCCGCGUCGCCGAAGCGGAGCCGUCACGUAGACCGCCGCCGGAGGCGGCAGCGCACUCGUUGCCUUCGUCCCCGCGAUCGACAUCUGCGAGCUGCAGUGCGCAAAGCACGCCUUCUGGACAGCCACGCUCGUCGAUGCUGCCGCGCCUCUCGACAGCGGCCGGCGGGAUGAAAGCGACGGCGUCCACCGCGUGGAGUGGCGCAGCGCCCGGCGUUGCGGCGCUGCCGUCGUCGACUGCCGAAGAACGUCUUCGGACGCGCUCCCUGACGCGGCAGGCCCCUUCGCCGCAUGCGAAGCGGUCAUUUACGCAGACCCUUUCGGCGACGCAGGACGCCUCUUCCACCGACCGCGCCAGUGCUGCUGCACCGGGCCACGCAUAUACGGCAGUCACUACAGCGCCGUUGCCCCCCGCACUGCGACAGCCGAUCAGGGCCGACGUGAGCAGCAGUGCCGCCCCGGCGUCGGAUGCCUCUCUCCAGUCGCGCUCCGCACCGGCGGAAUCGGUGCCAGCAUGUUCACCGCUGGUACCACUACUGCAAGGGACGGCGAGCGUCUUUCCAGGAGACGACGCCGUUGCGGAUGAGGAAGACGUUGACGCCGAAUUCUCUUGCGCAUCUGCGCUCAAUCCCCUGCACACGGAAUCCAGCCGGCAUGCUGUGGGUGGCGGCCUUGCGACGUGCUGCACCGCCUCCGCUGCACAUCCCAUGCCAGACUCAGCGCUUCUACCAUGUCGGACUUCUUCUUCCACAUUGCUCACUUCUUUUUCCUUUGUUGCCGCCUUCAGUGACAGCGAGGACGACGCACAGGAUGCAGACGCCGCUGAUCGCGCCCGUUGCCUGCAGCAACGUCACGGGCUCAUCGCAGCGUAUCCGGAUCGCAUCGCGGGCGGCGAUGAUGAGCGGAGCACGGAGGAGGAGGAUGCGGCGGCAGAAGACGGUGAAGAAGUUUUUUGCGGCAGCAGCACUCAAGUCUUUAUUGUUAUGCACUCGGUCCUUUGCAGUUGCGGGGCACAGGACCUUACGAGAGGAUCUGGCGAGGCUACAGAGCGCGCGGCUGCGGCAUCGACGUCGUUCGCGACAGCAGCGACACCCAAUUUCUUUGAGCCUAGUCACGCACGUCGACGCCAGCUCGAUACGCCGCUGGGAGACAGCACAGAGGGGCUGCCGGGUCGCUCUUCUGUGCCGUGUGCAGCAGACGCGGACUUUCCUUUCUCGUACUUCGAGCAACGCGUGCUACUGCCGCCUGGGAGUGGACACGAAAGGCGGGUGGGUGGCGGGCGCAGCGGCGGCGGUGAUGGUAAAGCUGCUCAUCCUCGCGCUCCACUGAUUGAGACGGAACAGAAGAGUCGUUCUCCGAGGUUGCCGUCUGCAUGGGCAGCUGAUCCGACAGAUGCGCCGCUUGGCGCUGCCUGCCCGCGUGCUCGAGCCGCAGCUGCUGAAGCUGCUGCAGCACGGCAGAAAGCGGCCGCCACCGUUCGAGAUGCUGGCGCGCUGCCAGUGGAAGCAGCGGCGUCUUCGCCACCGGAUGCCGAGGAGUCAAACCUCUAUGACUUCGCGAAGGACUACAGUGGCCCCGAGCCGAGAGGCACAUCGUCUUGUCAUCGACAACACGCGUUUUGUGCUGCAGGCACGUCAGCGGUCGAGCCAUCAGAGGGGGACAUGGCGUUUGCUGCGGAGCUUUAUGCGCGGCUGCAGUUCUGGAGUCUGCGCGGCCAGGACCGAAGCGCUUACAUUGAUCUCUCGUGGACGCGGCAAUCAAGACACGAACGCCCUGAGGGCGAGAAGUGGAGCGCGCCGUCUGCCUCUCACAGCCGCGCCGGCAACACGGAGGCCAUGGAGGGGCUGGCGGAGGUUGAUCGUCAGCAACCAGCGGCACCGUUCGCCAGCUACGCCACAGGGGUCGAUGCUCCCAGGAGAGAGCAGGCUGGGAUGAAUCAACCAGCUCCAGACACACGGACAAGCGGCAAGCCGGCGCCAGGCGAAGCAUCGCAGUCGUCGCUGGACUCGUCCAUGAACGCAUCUGAAGGUGCCAGCUCGAAAAACACUAUCGAGCUUCCACUUCGCCUGCUCCACUGCACGGUCGGCACCAUUGAGCUUUCAGACGAGGCGCUGCAAGCGCCGCCGAGGGCGGGUGCCAGAGUGCGGAAGCGUCGACGUGCCGCUCACGCUGACGAGCGGCAGACGAAGCGAAGGUCGAGGGUGGCGGGGAGCAGUGGCGCGACGGAGGAGGAAGCGGACGAUCCUCUCGCAAAAGAAGCCGAGGAAUGUGAUGAGGGACGUGGGAGCUUCCCGCGCUUGCCGCCUCUCAUGACUGUUAAUGCGCGUGGCAAAGAGCUACUCUUUGAGGCUCUGCGCGAGGCCACGGAGGUGGUGGUGUGUGGGGUGCGAGAAAGCCGCGCCCACACGGGUUAUCACGACGUGCUUCAUCAGCGCUGUCCCCCACCGCCUUCAUCAACCUCGGCAUCCGCGGCGCCGCAGAACGGAGCCGGCGUGCGCUCGGAGGGAGACACAGGCCAGGUAGGUCACGACCCGCGCACUGACGCGGCGGCGGCAACGACGACUGGUACGCCGUCGAAAUCGACGUGGAUUACGACUGUGAACCCGUGGAUGGCAGCUGCUGCUGCGGCGCAAGGGUGCAGUUUUCGUGUUGCCGCCGGCACGCUCUCCCGUGACGGACGGAACCCCUUCGCCUUUGACACCCAUCGGCACCUAGGCGCAUGCGGCAUCGUCUGCUGGUCUCAAGGAGACAUCUCGCACGAAGAGGAGGCUGAAAGCUCGUCGGCGGACGUGAGUGACGACGAGGCUGCAAUGACCAUGGCGGUACCGACGAAGGACAGCGCACCCGACUGUGCGGAAGAGACUAGCGGCGGCGCCACACACCACCACGAUCACGUGCGCCGCUCCGACUUUUCUCACAUGCACAAGUGGCGGUGGCCGAAACUUCCCGCCAAUGACCACAAGCAGUGGCGCUGCGAGCUGCUCAAGAGCGAGUUCCGUUUGGCCCGAUCGCGGUGCCUCGACUGCCUCCUCGUCGACCAUACCCAUGGCCGCCCGAUCGCCGCGAUCACGCUGGCUCCUUGGUCGUGGCCACGCGCAUCUUUUGGGUUGCCCUCGGACGCUGUCUACAGCGGUGACGACGACGGGGACGACGAGGAGGUGCCGUCGAGGCGAUGCACAGAGCGGCAUUGUGCUGGCACCAAGGCCGCGGACGCGCCGUCUCCACAGGAGGUGGUGCAGCGCACCAUCUACGUCGUGGUUGGCUUCACCCACUACAUAGCUCCGCUAUGGCGGCACCUGCGAGAGGAGAAGGCGGUGCUGGUAGACAUGGACCGCACCCUCAUUGACAACGCCAUCACGGAGCGCUCGGCUGCCGAGCGGCAGCGUCACCUCCGUCACCUACACCGCGUCGUGGCGGCUGCUGAAGGCGUGGCGGGGGCUGAAAACCCGUGCGUGCUCUGGCGCCGAUACCCGGCGGCGCCGUCGUCAGAGCGCUUCGCCGGCGCGCCGCUCCGACUCGGCCGCAACGAUGCGCCGCCGCUAACGGAAGAGGAACUUGCCGAGUCGAUGGUGAGAGGGGCGGAUGGGCAGCAGGAGGGCGCGUUGCACCGGGACAGCAGGGGUUACCACCUCCACGGCAACGGCCCUUUCCAUUCCUCACACAGGUGUACCGAGAUUGUCGAGGACGAUGGUGUUCUGCGGCCGACCAUGCGACAGAGGCAUCCGCACACUCGUGAGCCCCUGUUGUCUCAUGCAAAGGCUACGACAGGCGACACCUCUGCCCUCUCCAGUGGCGGCUUGCUGCAUUGCUUCAUGCGCCGCACCGCAUCGCAGCGGCAUAGUCUUGGCAUCGUGCACUACGAAGAAUGCGGCGCUGUCAGAUACACUGCUGCUUCCCCGUCUGCAGUAGGGCCGGCUUCGGCAGUGGACUCGCCGUCCAAGAGCAGACACGACCACGGACACAGCCAUCUUGAGUGCCGCGACACGCGAGAGACGUCAUGUUCGUCGAGCGCCGAUGCAGAUGCCCUCAGGUCGAGCUCCGCGAAGUCUGCCACCGCUUCAGCGACUGCGACUGCGACGCCUCCGGCCCGCUACUUGCUCGAUGUUGUGUACGUGCGCCCCGGUGUGCGCCAGUUUCUCUACCGUGUUGCCACCCAGUGGAACAUUCCGGUAGUGCUGGUUACAAAGUCAACGCGGAGCCGCACCGAGGCCAUUCUGCGCCAGGUGCUCGACCCGCACAGAGUACUCUUCCCCGACAUGCGAUCAAGCGUGGUGACGGCGGACGAGAUGCUUCGCUGGUGCGAUGACUUAGAAAGGCGCGAUGAUGCCGUCGGCAGGGAUGAGGAGGCGCCUGCGGCGCCAGACGUCGGUUUCGCUGGCCCCGUAGGAGGAAUUCCAGCGGAUCACAGCAGCUCCGCAACAUCAAGCGUGCCCAACCCAGCUCACGCGCAUCUCGUUCCGUUGCAGACGCCGGCACCGAGGAACACGGCUGAGCGCCUUGCACGAUGCCGCAAAGGCGCCCUGCGCGUUGUGCAGUUUAUUUUGGAUGCCGACGCAAUGGCAGCGGCUCGUCGCGCGUGGCGCGCUCCGGCGUGGUGCGACUGGCCAAACCGCCUGCCGAAGCCGCGCAGCAUCGCUGUGCUGGAUGACGCGCCGCAGGUAUGGGAGGAGUCGGACUGGCCGUGCACGGUGAACGUGGCCCCCUACACACUCGCCCGCGUCGAUCCGCGGGCGUACUUCAGCCGUCGCGGCUACGCCACCUCCCUCGUGCUCUCUUGCUUGUACGGGUCGAAGUGCUUGGUGUGCAGUGAGGGUGUGCUGCGGCUGCCAGAGUGGCAAAGGGCUGAUACAUCGACAUCCCCGUCCUCUCCCCACACUCCUUCAACUACUCUGAGCAUGCCAGAGAGCCGUGGUCACGGAGCGUACCGCUGGCCGCACUGCGUAUGUGUGUGCCCGCCAGAUCAUCUUCGCGACCUCGCCCGCGCGGAGGAGGAUGUGCCGGUUGGCUACACUAACACCAGCUUCAGCGCCGCCGCCUCAGAUCUGUCCGCUAGCGUGAGCGCGAUGCUGACGGCGCUGCUCUGGCGCAUGUCGAACAAAGAUGCGCUGUGCAGCUCCCAGCAACCACUGCUGUUGCCGACCAUCGAGGACUCUGUGGCUACAGAGCUGGCAGAGCAGGCAAGAGGUGCUGAGAGCCAGGUUGGGGCAAGCCGCCGUGGCGGCAGCCGCCGACGUCGGCGCCGGCGCCACGCCUGCGAUCUGGGCGCGACCAUGGCUCCUGUCAGCGAAGACCGAUGCGAGAAGGCCCUCCCUUCCACGGCUACAGGGGCGGAUGUGUUGGGAUUCGCCGGAAGGGCUAUGCGGCCAGGACAUGUCGACACCGUCGACACCGAAGGCAUCGCGUCUCUUCGGUCUCCCCCGCCUGCGGUGCUUGCCAGGGCGACAUGCCACUCCUUCCCCUCUGCCUCUGCCUCGUCCUCAGCACAAUCAGCUUCGUCACCGUCGUCAUCAUCGUCAGCGUCGAGCUCGAACCCUUCGUUGCCGUCCACCACCGACUCCUUAUUCUCGUUGGAACCGCUCGCAUGGGGCGCGGGCUUUGGCCACGCCGCGGUGAACGCGAGGACCGACACUGGCAGCUACACGCCGAGUACCAUGAUGACGGCAGCGUCGAUGCCGCCAACUCCGAUGACCUUCCAUGCCUUUCCCGACCUGCCGCUUGAGUCCAGGGUGCUAGGCGGUGUGGCUGAGGCAGACGCUGACGAGCAGCACGGAUUGCGCAUCAGCAUGGGCAGUUUAUCUGCCAACGCUACGGCUAGCGGCAGGAAUACGGUAAGGGGAGAGAGUGCAGCCUUGCAGACUCCCCCACCGGACGGCUACGCUGUUGCGAUCACCAACGGCUACGAAGCGCCUUGUUUGAGUUCGUCUGCUGUGGAUGAUGUGAUUCCGUUGGAGAUGCAGGUGGUACCGUCGGUGCUGGAACCUCUUUCCACACCAGGAAGUCUCAGCCAGUGCGUUGAGGAUGUAGGCGGGGCGCCUGCUAUGGCGUUGAUCGACUCGGUCUCGUGGUCUAGUGGUUCUCAUAAGGCUUUGCGGUCGAGCCGCAGCUUCACGUCUGCGUCCAGGAAGGGUGUCGUGCCCAUCACCUCUGUGCCGGGGACGUUUACAGAGAGGGUUGUGGUUGAUGUCGACGAGCCAGCGCCGCCGGGGGUGUGCGAGGCAGAGCUGCAGCGGCCGCGGCACCGGCUCCUCGAUGACCCGCUUGACGAGGUAGAGGAUGUCACCCCGCUGUGACAGCGAACGGGGCGCGAGCGUGAGGGACGCGCGAAGAACAUCGAUCUUUAACAUUUGUUUUCUUAAUGGUGGGCCACUGCUUGCUGUACACACGAUGCCCGCGGGCCGACGUCUAUGCACACCCCUUUCUUUCAUCUCUCCUUCCCUCCCUCUGUGUUAGGGCAUGCUCCAGAUGCGCAAACACGGCGAGAGAGACACAGACAGACACACCGGCACACAGACGGGGACAGGGACGGCCCAACCCCUCAGGGAGCGAAAAGCACGCACAGAGCAGAACCAAGAAAGUGGAUCAACGACAACAAAAAAACACAGCAACCAUGCGAGGGCAAGGCGUGGAGGGAAGGACAGGCAAUUCACGGUGGCAUCAAGCCCCCGCGCGAGGUGCUCAGUGGCGGAUCUCAGUUUCGGCGCACCGAGGACGAUGAACGCGCGGCGAGAGAGGGUGUAGCGACGCAGCGACGUGCCACAUCGCCCUCUCGCCAGCACGAUCUCUCCCUUUCUGCGGUGCCGUAGCGAUGCCAC